CCCAAUCCGAGUUAAUAGAAUAUCCAUUAACUUGCUGGUUAUAGGGGAUAUUCGAUCCAUCAGAGUUUAAUUUGCCAAAAGUUACAUUGACAAGGGUUACUCAUGAGGGCAAUGAUUACUCGAUCAGAUUUUAAUGUGAGGGGGGUUACUUAGUCGAUCAAUCGGAUUGGUUUUUUUUUUUUUUAAUGUAAAUUUGGAUUUUCGGAUCGGAGAAGAUCGGAUUGACCAUGUUAAGAUCUAAAAAGUGCGGUGAUAAUUUAGAUUCCUUGUAAUGUUGGGAAAUCUAAAACGCGAAGUGUUGGAUGAUAAAU